UUUUUUUAAAUUUCUUAUCAAAAGGGGAUGAAACGAAACGAUGCUUUCUCGGAUUCAGAUGAAUAAAAGAUGAAAAUAGAAGCUUGGAAAAAUGGGUAGAGAUUGAACGUGAAGAUAAUUUCUGGGCAAUUUCUAAAAAUAGCUGAAAAUUUGAGGAGACCACAGGUAAGUUGCUUGGCUGUUGGCUAUUUCUUGGGGUACUGUGUCUCUGUGGUCU
rnacentral:lncRNA from 1 species